rnacentral:rRNA from 1 species
CUUGAGAGCGGCGGACGGGUGAGUAAUACCUAGGAAUCUGCCUGGUAGUGGGGGAUAACGUUCGGAAACGGACGCUAAUACCGCAUACGUCCUACGGGAGAAAGCAGGGGACCUUCGGGCCUUGCGCUAUCAGAUGAGCCUAGGUCGGAUUAGCUAGUUGGUGAGGUAAUGGCUCACCAAGGCUACGAUCCGUAACUGGUCUGAGAGGAUGAUCAGUCACACUGGAACUGAGACACGGUCCAGACUCCUACGGGAGGCAGCAGUGGGGAAUAUUGGACAAUGGGCGAAAGCCUGAUCCAGCCAUGCCGCGUGUGUGAAGAAGGUCUUCGGAUUGUAAAGCACUUUAAGUUGGGAGGAAGGGCAGUAAAUUAAUACUUUGCUGCUUUGACGUUACCGACAGAAUAAGCACCGGCUAACUCUGUGCCAGCAGCCGCGGUAAUACAGAGGGUGCAAGCGUUAAUCGGAAUUACUGGGCGUAAAGCGCGCGUAGGUGGUUUGUUAAGUUGGAUGUGAAAUCCCCGGGCUCAACCUGGGAACUGCAUCCAAAACUGGCAAGCUAGAGUAUGGUAGAGGGUAGUGGAAUUUCCUGUGUAGCGGUGAAAUGCGUAGAUAUAGGAAGGAACACCAGUGGCGAAGGCGACUACCUGGACUGAUACUGACACUGAGGUGCGAAAGCGUGGGGGAGCAAACAGGAUUAGAUACCCUGGUAGUCCACGCCGUAAACGAUGUCAACUAGCCGUUGGGAGUCUUGAACUCUUAGUGGCGCAGCUAACGCAUUAAGUUGACCGCCUGGGGAGUAC